UGUUAAAAUUUCACCCAUUUCUACUGUUAAAAAAUAAUAUAGCUGAUAGAAUAACUAGGCAAUUACGCACUGACGUACAGGAACCAAUUUUUGACAACAGAAAUGGAUGGAAUUUUUAACA
rfam:Gossypium hirsutum cultivar TM-1 chromosome 20, whole genome shotgun sequence